GAUGAACGCUGGCGGCGUGCCUAAUACAUGCAAGUCGAGCGAACAGACGAUGAGCUUGCUCCUCUGACGUUAGCGGCGGACGGGUGAGUAACACGUGGAUAACCUACCUAUAAGACUGGGAUAACUUCGGGAAACCGGAGCCAAUACCGGAGAAUAUAUUGAACCGCAUGGAUCAAUAGUGAAAGACGGCUUUGCCGUCACUUAUAGACGGAUCCGCGCCGCAUUAGCUAGUUGGUAAGGUAACGGCUUACCAAGGCAACGAUGCGUAGCCGACCUGAGAGGGUGAUCGGCCACACUGGAACUGAGACACGGUCCAGACUCCUACGGGAGGCAGCAGUAGGGAAUCUUCCGCAAAGGGCGAAAGCCUGACGGAGCAACGCCGCGUGAGUGAUGAAGGUCUUCGGAUCGUAAAACUCUGUUAUUAGGGAAGAACAAAUGUGUAAGUAACUAUGCACGUCUUGACGGUACCUAAUCAGAAAGCCACGGCUAACUACGUG
rnacentral:rRNA from 1 species